CUGGGACCCACAGGAAUUCCCUCCCUUCAGUCCCGGGGGGAGGCGGCCGCGAUCCUGGGGGAGGCGCAGCCUCACAACCCGGACUUUGCGGGCGGGCGGGCACUGGUGAGAAGAGGAAGUGGGAGAGGCCUGGGAAGGAAACUUGGAAACCGAAAACUCGGCGGCCGAGGCUCCGUGCCCCGCGCGCAGCGCUGCUCCUGCCCCGGCCAAGGACGCACGGGCCAGCCGGCGGAACCAGAGGUUUUCAGUGAUGUUGAGAGUCAACAGGAAAUUAAUCAGCAAGUAGAAAAUUGAAAGAAGAUCUGCAUCUUACUGCAGGAGUCAUUAAAAUAAAAGCAGAUUUGGCAAAAUGGCAAGAACCAGAGGAUGAGGAUGUAAAACAAAAACUUUUGGAGUCAUUUUGCCACCAGGAUGAAAAUAGGAUGAAGCUGACAUGACAAAGGUGCAGUUGUCAUAGCCUUCUCCAGCAUGUGUUCCUUCUGUAUUUCAGACAUGGCAGAGGAGACACAGCAAUAACUAAGGGGCAACUAUUGCAUCCAGAAAAAAAAAAAAUGAAGAUAAUGACUUCUCUGCAACUAAGAUGAAGAUCCACUGAACUUUGGGGUUUGAAAUGCAACGUUAGAACUUCAGACUCCCGGCACCUAGGUCUCCAGCUGCUGGGUGGUGCCAGCAUCAGAGAUACACUCUGCAAAACAUAUACUGUCUUAGGAAAAAGUGACCCUGUUGUCCUUUCAGGCCCAUAUUCCACAAGAAGACAAAUGGAGAUGUAAAAGGAAAACUGCAGCUCCGACUGAAGAGAGAGCAAGUUGUCUGUUCUGAUACAGCCAGGAAAUAAGAUGUUCUGGUUAAUAUGUGCUAAAGAUGUGGUGCUGACUUUCCGACUCAGAAUAUGAUCACAUGUUUUUCUCAUUAAAACUAUAUUGAAUAUUAUUUGACCAUUGUUGAGUCAGUCAUCUUGAUAAAUAUUAUCUUCGUACAGUCCUGAGCAGAGAGUCAGUGACUAGAAUGCCACUGAAACCAGCUUUUUAUAGGACACGGUUUUCAUGGUUUUAGGGCAUGGAGAAACUU
rnacentral:lncRNA from 1 species